GCGGAUAUAGAUUAAUGGUAAAUUACCUGCCUUCCAAGCAGAGGAUAUGGGUUCGAUUCCCAUUAUCCGCA
rnacentral:tRNA from 1 species